CUGUUUUUCAGAAACAGCAACACCACCACCAGCAGCAACAGAAGAUGGAGGUUGACCAAAAUAGAUGCCAGAAUUGAUCAGAGAGUUUAACUGAAUUACUCCAGUUUACAGAGCAGUAAGGAGCAGAAGUAGGACUCAAAUCAAGCCAGGUCUGGAGGUAGCAUACAUGACUCUGUUGUACUGGCCAGAAUCCAGCUGCCUUACUAAGUGCCAGGAAGACAAGAAUACUUGCCUCGCUAUGUGUCAAGAGGCUCCGGUGAACCAAUAUUAUUCCCCAGAACAAGUUUCUUGCGUAUUU